CGGAAUGUCUACAUCAAUAGUAUGAAGGAAGGGCUAACACUACAAAAUAGAAUAAAGAUGGAUACUCUUCGAUCCGCGGAUGCGGCAAAUGUAACUCGAAGUCUCCAAAAGCUCUCAUGCCUUAAGGAUGAUAAGCAUGUGCAGAGGUACCUAAAUCUACACAUGAAAACAUGCGCAGAAAGGGCAUGAGUACACCACAGUGGUACUCAGUAAGUGCCAAGCCUAACCUCGGUCGGAUAUUGACGAGGAAGGUUGUGGCCCUACUGAUAUCAAAUAAAAUAUAAGAUCUAACAGUAAAGAGUAAGCAAUAUAACGAGUACAACAAUGGAAUAAGGCAAGUUAUACAAGGUAACAACAAAUAUACAACGAACAGAGUAACCACGAAAAUAAGAACAACUCAACACCAAUAGUAACAACGACGAUCUCCCAGGAUACCGUCCUGUAAUCCUUUUCAUUAAAUGUCCAGUAGAUCUCCCAGGAUACCGUCCCGUAGUCCAAUUAUCAAUGCGUGGGGAUAAACCGGAAUCCUAAUCCGUAGUCCCAAACGUAAAUACCCAGUAUUAGGGGAAUCUACCGGGUGCAUUCCCGGUAGUUCUAUAUAACUGUGCAGGGUGGGAAUCUAACCCGUAGUCCCAAAGUAAAUGUGUAGAGGGAUCUACCAGGAAUCUAACCCGUUGUCCCAAAGUAAAUAGACAAGGGGGAGCUACCGGAAUCCUACAUCCGUAGUCCCAAUGUUAAUACGUAGAAACAACAAAAAAAAGAUAUUCAAAAAUGGAAUUUCAUAUCAAGACAACAAGUAAUUUCUAGCCUAACAUGCUUCACGUAGUGCAAUCAAGCCAAUUUAAGCAAAUAGGCAAUUCCAGUCAACUAAGCAUGCUCUUCUAACUAGCAACAGGUUAAGUUUGUAAAUACAAUAAAACGAGAAAGGAAACAUGUUAAGGAAUACAUUAAGAAAAAUUGAACUUUCAAUAAUUUGCACAAGUAUGCGAUCGUCACCUCACGCACAAGUCAAUUCAGUUAACAAAUACACAAAUCCUAAGGAGAAGGUCCCUCAUACAAGGUUAGAUGAGCCAUUUACUUCAAUCCGGCUCGAAAUAGACUAGAAACCAUGUUCUUGCCACGAGUAUUUGACUCCAAAUGGCUCAAAUCUAUUCAAUUCCAUUUCACAAUAUAAAUAAUACUUCAAGAAGCCGGUUCUACAAGUAAAUUCUAAGCGAAUACGCAAAAUUAUGUAAAAUAAUAAAAAUUCCCCUCACGGCAAUUUCUCAAAAUCGGGUGAAAUUUAUAUUUUCAGAAACCCCAUACUCUCGCGAGUCUAUGCAGAAGAAGAAAAUAAAAAUCGGAGUCCAAAUGACCCCUCAAAUCCUCAUUUAAAGGCCUCUUAAACUGAAGCCCUAAUUACCCAUUUUUUCCAAAUUUCUCACACUAAUUAGGUAUUUAAUCACAUAAAAAUGAGUUAUGAAGUAAAAAAUGUUACUUCCAAUCGAUUCCCCUCGAAUCCCUUUUCAAUCUCCGCUAAGAAGCUCUCAAAAUGAUAAACUAUGGGUGAAAAUAAACCCAAAAUCACGGAUGAAAUGACUUAAAACAUUCUGCCCAGGACUGUUUUUUCUUCAUCGCGAUCACAUCACUACCUUCGCGAUCGCGAAAAUAAAAUCCUCAUGUCCCUAGGACUACUCUACACAAACGCGACAUACAAGUCGCGAACAUGAUGCUCUUUACUACUAUAACUUCGCGAACGCGAAAACCCUUACGCGAAUGCGAUGCACAAUUUCCCAGCCCUCUGCGAAUGCGAAGCCUCUCACGCGAACGCAAAGGCUUAACUCAGGCCCUCCUAAAAUCCCUUCUACGUGAUCAUGAUACACCCUUCGUGAUCGCGAAGGGAAAAUCUCUGCAACUCCUGAAACUUCAAAAUCUGCAAUCUUUUAAGGCACAAAAUUGUCUGAGAAACCAUUCGAAACUCACCUGAGGCUCCCGGGACCUCAACCAAAGGCACCGACACAUCCUAAUACUCUACUCAAACUUGUCUCAAUCAUCAAAACACCUCAAAUAAUAUCAAAUCACUCUAACACAUCGGAUUCGAGCCUAAGUUUCUAAAAUCUUCGAAAUACUCUUUUGAUAAAAAAUCCAACCAAACCACGUCCGAAUGCCCUGAAAUUUUACACACACAUCCCAAAUGACAUAACGAUCAUACUGCAACUCUUGGAAUCCAAUUCUGAACCCUAUAUAAAAAUCUCUCCUACCAACCGGAAAUCGCUAAUAUAACAACUUCGCGAAUUCAAACCUAAUUCUACUCUCUCACCUCCAAAACCAAUUGCGAUCACACUCCUAAUAUCAUCUUCCGAAGCUAAGCGAACCACCGAUUUUCAUUUCGAGGCCGUUUUCACAGUUUCCAAUUAUGGUCAAUUUUCCAACACUUCAGCUCUCAUUUAGUGACUAAGUAUCCCAAAACUCUCAAAAAAUUCAAAAGUGAACAUCCCAGCAAUCAUAUUGACAAAAAUAAAUUUGGGAAAAGAAGUUAAUAGGGGAUCAGGGCAUUAAUUCUUAACGCGACCAGCUAGGUCGUCACAGGAACUUGCUAACUUGGCUGCUGAUAUGGACAAAAUAUUGGAUGGGUCAGCUGCCACAGUGGAGGGACGUUAGGGUUAGAGGCAAUUAUGCAAACUUUGUCAAUGGUAGGGAUAGAUUUAGACGAAAAGUAUAACAUAUGGCAGAAGUAAACAGUAUACUAUAGUAAAAAUAGAAAAAUAAAAAUAUAAAUUAAAGAACUCAAUUAUUUAGAUCUAGUUGUCAAAAAGCCUCACGCCAAGACUUUCUCUCAGAAUCUAAGAUCCCGAGUAAAAGAUCUUGUUGUGAUGAUUAUUAUAUAUACUAGGUUAAGGUCUUUUUUUUAUUUUUUUCGUAAAAAAAAUUAAAUCUAGCCGCUAAAAACCCUCAUGCUAAUACCUCCAUCUUGGGAUUUAAGAUCCUUGAUGGGAGAUAUUGGCACGAGGAUCUUUAAACGAACUAGAAAAAUUGAAAAUGAGGUGGAUCUAGGCUUUCAACCCUUUUAAAUAAAAGAUCUAGGGAUUUUUUCAGGGUUUUUGGGGAUUUGGUUGGUAGGAUGAGGUUCAAUGAGGCGAGGAUAGUGUACGGUGUGAGUUUGAGGGGGUUUUGGAGCUCUAUCACCGCCUUAGGCGAUUUACGAUGGUGCGAUUAGGAUGGCACUAGGUUUUGGGCCCUAUUUUAGGCUUAGAUUCGUCGAUGCUUUGUGGAUUUGGUUGAUGAGGUGAGGUAGAAGAGGAGUUGAUUGGUGUAAUUUAGGAAGUGUUUGGUGGUGGUUGAAGGCCGCCGGCGGGCAAUGCCGUUGUAGGCAGAGGCGGCGACAGAAGAGAGGGAAGGAGAGAGAUGAGAGAGAUAGGGCGGUUUAGGGUUUGGGGAGUCUCGAGAGAGAUGUAAGAGAGUAGGGAGUUUGGAAAAGGGGGCGGGGUAAUUGGAAUAGGACUUUUUUUAUAAAAGGGGAGGGAGUUACGGACCGUUGAAUUUAUUGGAGAUCAACAACAUGGACUAAAUGGAGGGAAGAUGGGGCAGACCGGAUGGGAUUCCGAUUGGGUGGUUUUGGGCCAUGUAUUUGGGGAUUAUGCUUGGUAUUUUUUGAAGGAAUUUUUACAUUUAUAUGUCAUAUAGUAGACUAUAUUAUCCUAAAUGUUCAUGUUUAGUAAAUUACCUUACUUACACAAGUUUUGUUUACAAAAUAUAUUUAUCCUACCUUAAAAAGUUCUUAAUCCAUUAUUAGUGCUUUCAGUUAAGGAAUUUAGUUAUAUCAUUUUCCCUUUUUUUUCCCUCCUCUUCUCUUUCCUUAUGUUUCUUCCACCUUAAUAUACGGUAAUCACUAUUAAAUUCAUUAGGUAUAUAAGUUACCAAAUCACAAUAUUUUAUUUCGGAUAAACAGAAAAAAUUAUGUCAAGAAAACCUAUAAAAUUUAGUUGUUAUUUAUUCUUCAGUGUAGCAAUUAUUCUUUAGUAUGCAAAUAAGUUUAAAGAUUCGUCCAGUUGAGUUAGACAAGAAAAGGAGCAAAAAUAUCUUUUGAUAUUUGAAGAAGAUUUUGUUCAAAAAAUAUUAUUCAAAUAGUUUUUUCACAAAAAAAAGAUAUAGAAAAUGAUUCCACAAUCUUUGUAAAAAUAUUUUAAAACAAACACCGCAUGAAUAAACAUAAGAGUUAGACUACAUAAUCAUUACCAGAUAUUCACAAAAUUUUUCUUUCAAAAUUAGCGUUGAAUUUAACCUCGUAUUGUUUAUAUCCCAUCCCAACUUUCCUUUAUCUACGAUUUUCAAAAAUUAUUUCUACCUAAUUAUAUACAACUACGAUAUCAUAUCAUUUAAAUAUAAUUUUUAUAUAAUAUGUCUUUUACAUAUUUUAUAUCUGAUUUAUAUAGUAAAAAUAAAUUUCAUACAACUUAUACAUAAUUUUCAUACAUUAUUUCUACGCAGUUAUAUACAACUAAAAUAUAAUAUCACUUAAAUAUAAUUUUUAUACAAUAUGUCUUUUGUAUAUUUUGUAUCUAAUUUAUACUUAGUAAAAAUAAAUUUCAUAUAACUAAUUAUAUAUUAUACAAUUUAUCUACAACUUUCACACAUUAUUUCUACAUGUUUAAAUACAACUACAAUAACAUACAACUUAAAUACAAACUUUAUACAAUAUGUCUUUUAUAUAUGGUUUAUACAUAGUAAAAAAAGAACUCAUACAAUUAAUUAUAUAUUAUACAACUUAUCUACAAUUUUCGUACAUUAUUUCUACUCAGUUAUAUACAACUAUAAUAUCACACAACUUAAAUAUAAUUUUUAUACAAUAUUGUUUAACUUUCAUACAAUAGUUAAAUGAAUAAAAGAAAAGUAAAUAAACAACAGAAUACAAUUUUUCUACAUUUCUGCAAUAUAAUGUAUGUCAUGUCUUCUUCUUCUCCUCCUCCUUCUUUUUCUUCUUUCUUAUUAUAUUAUUAUUAUUAUUAUUAUUAUUAUUAUUAUUAUUAUUAUUAUUAUUAUUUAUUAUUAUUAUCAUUAUUAUUAUUAUUCAAGUUUCAAUAUGAAAUUCAGCCAAAAUCAAGUCUAAUCUUCACCAAACCCCCUCAAAAUUGAGAUAUAAACUACAAACCAUAUUUCUAAUUAUUUGCAACAACACUCAAUCUUAAAAAUAAUAAUUUUUGAAAAUCCAAAUUCAAAUUCAAAGCUUCAAAGCUUUUUAAUAGUUGUCAAUGGUGGAACUACUGCUCUUUUUUCCUUUGCUUUAUAUUACUAAAUUUGGGAUUAAGAGAUAGAGAGAGACUUAGAGAAAAUUCUCAAUUCUUUGCAACAACAUCCAAUCUAAACAUAUAAUGUCUUUUGAAAACCCAAUUUCGAAUUCAAAGGUUCAAAGCUUUUUAAUGGUUGUCAAUGGUGGAGUGAUUGCAGAUUUUCGCUGGUUUUAGAAGAGAAGAUAGUGGGUGAUUGAAGAAGAAAUCAUGGGGGUGUGGUUUGAUAUGUGGGUGAGGGGGUGGGAUUUGGAGAGAGAAACUUGGGGGGAGUGGGAAUGUACGGUAGAGUUAAAUUAGGAGACUAAUUAAUCCUAUUAAAAUUCCUAAAAUAUAUAGAAAUGGUAAUUAAGUAUAUAAAAGAUAAUUAUAUUAAAAGUUAAGCAUGGAAGAUAAUAUAGUUUACUAUAUGACAUGAGAAAUGUAAAAAACCCUUUUUUGAAUCGAAUUUGGGGUUAAGCUUGGUUUGAAAAAACAAAGACCUAUUUUCUUUAAAUUUAAAAGCUAGUUAAUUUAAAUAGAUCCUAGGUUAAGUACUAAAAUAUCUUAAUUUUUAGAAUUUAACUAAUUAUCUAUUUGUAUUAUUUACAUAAUUAGUCAAUCUUAUAUUUAAAAAGGGAAAUUGCCAAUUUUAAUACUAAAGCGUAAAAAUGUCAAAAUUGUCACACCUCCUAUUUCCUUACUACACCCUGUGAAGAGGUAUAAUAAAUAGGGAGUUAAUUUCCAACUUAAAGUGACAAUCGAAUCGAGAUUUAUUUUAUUGAUAAUCAGAGUUGCCACUUGGGAGAUUUAUGGUGUCCCAAGUCACCGGUUGAAAUUCUGAAUCGAGGAAAAGAAUGACUCUGUUAUUACAACCUGCGAAUCAUAAAUUCGGGUAAGGAAUUUUAUUAACCCGGGAGAAGGUGUUAGGCACUCCCGAGUUCCGUUGUUCUAGCACGGUCGCUUUGAUCAUACUCGGCUUUCCCUUUUCUUUAUUUGUAAUGCCUUUUCUUAGCUUUAUCCUCUUACUCUUUCCUGUUGUUUUUCCAUUGUUUGCUUCUUUCUUUCACUUCUUUUCCUCUCCUAUUCUCCCCUUCUUUGUUUCUUUUCUCUUUUUUCUUUUCUUUUUCUUUUAUUUGGUUACGGUCGAAUCCUAUGUAGAUUGCCUACGUAUCAUGACCCCGCAUGAAUAAGACCGAGCGUAGUUCUGGUGGAUAUGAAAACAAUAAACACAAAAUAUUUUUUUAAAAAAAUCUUCAAUAAAAAUAAACACCUUGACGACAAAGACUCAAGACUCACAGACUCGAAAUAAACUAACAUGCUUAGAAAAGAUCAAUUCGAAAGACCUAACAGACUCCAAAACAACUUAACAGACUCAAAGCAAAAAUAUUGACUCAAGCAAAGAUCACUAAUACAUCAAAGCCUUAAACACUCCUAAAGCUCUCGGGGUCUUGUAUGGUUUUGUUGCGGGCUCGUCUGCAAGAUCCAACCGGAGCCUUUCCAAAUCUAUCAUUAUCUGCUGGACAAACGUCAUGACUGCCGUGAAGAAAGUGGUUUGGGUCAUGACUUCACAUAUUUAGCAUUUUACCACAAUAUACUCUGCUAUCGCUGUGACCCUUUCAAGGAUCCUGCCCUUUUCCCGCAAUAAAUCUCUAAUUUGUCGAGUUCUUGCUUCCACAUUUUGUUUGGAUGUAUGGCUUCUUUUUGAAGGUGUUUCAAAUCCCUUUCUAGCCGUGCUAUCAAAGAAUAACAGUGCUCCCUUUCGGCUUCAAAAUUUCUUUCCUGCUUGGCCAUUUCAUUUUCAACGAUCUUGACCUUUUUCUUCAUACUUGCCAUUCUCUUGUCGUAUUUCUCCUUCAACUGACGGAUAAAUCUUGACUGUUCCCCUACAUCCUUGGCUAUCUUGGCCCGAGCACUUGCUGAAUCCUUUUCAGUCUUCUGUAAAUCAUCCUCGAAAUCACGUGCCUUCUGGGUAAGGUUGUAGAUGAGUUUCUCAUCCUUUCUACUCUUUCCCGGGUUGUCAAUUGCUAUUUUCAUUUUCCGGAUCUGUGCUGUGAGAGCUUCAUUUUCUUGGAUCAAUCUUCUUUUCUCACCUUCGGCUUCCUGAGCCCGGAGAUCAUUGUUGAAUUCCAUGUUUCUCAGCUUUUCUUUCAAGGCAUGAAUCUCAACUUGAUAAACUUUUUCCUUUUCUCCCCAUGCUAAUCUUUCUUGGAUUUUGUCUUCAAAAUCUUGAACAUGAGGUCUUUUGGUGGGUCUUUCAGGUUCGGGUUCCGGCUCAGUGUUCACACAUGACAUCUUCUCAAACCAAGCAGCAUAGUGUCGAUCCACUUCUCCUUUUGCGAUAUCUGGUACGUGGGUGCUAUUUUGAAGAUACCGGCAGUCAUUCCAAUCAUGUUGAACUAAAGCUUCGGGCAGUGCGUCUUCCAGGUGAAAUUCUAUAACUUGAGUACUUCGAUCUUCAUCUUUGGGCACAAUUUGAUACUGUCCCAAUUGUCUCGAGACCCUCUGUGGUGCAUACGGUUAGAAUACUUUUCAUACCCAUUAUCCUUAAGUAGACCUUAGCAGCAGUCAUGUAUAUGGCUUCUGUCUUCGGGAGCCAUCCGAUGAACCACUCAAUUUGACUUGCUUUAAGAGUUUUCAACAGAGACACCCGUACUUAAAACCCCUCUGGCACGUUGUAAUCCUUUACCAUCGCUUCAUAACUGGUGAUCAAAUCAUUUGGGCUCGAACCAUAACUCAUGAAUCUGGGAUGGUGGCGAAGGUGCUCGAUCAUCCACAUUUGUAGGAGGAUAUUGCAACCUUCGAAGAACCGAGCACCAGCUUUGCAUAAAGUCAACACAUGGUAGAUAUCCGCCAGUACCAACGGGGCAAGUGUAUGAUUUUUCAUGGAGGUGAGGAUUUGUGCAAUUCUAGCCAUACGAAUAUCCAUUGUCCCUUUCUCAUUUGAAAAAACCAUUACCCCAAGAAUGCCACAAUAAAUGCGAACCGACGAUGAAGUCUACAAAGACCCUUAUCUUGUUUGUUUCUCAACCCAUUUUCAUGUGUCUCAAAACCAGAAGAAUGCCCAAACCUGAAGUAUAAGAAAUGGAAAUAACAACACCCAUUGCUUACGCGAUUUUUACUUGUCUGUUUGCUGAUAUUCAGGAGGUAAAAAAACUUGUGAACCGACAGAGCCCUUGGAAAUAUAAGUUGUUUCUUUCUCAGAUCUCGUCCAAACUCAAUGAACCCGGCUAUCUCCUCCAAAGUAGGGAUAAUCUCAAAGUCUGAGAAGCGAAAAACAUUACGAGCGUGGUCCUAGAAAGUUAUCAUAGCCUUGAUCAAAGCAUCCCGUGGUUUCAUAUCUCAAAUGUCUAUAUGAGCGCCCAACUAUUGUCUUACCCAUUACUGACCAUAUUGAUCCUAAUCAUUCCACCACAUGCACAAAUGUACCUGAGCCUGCUCCCUGACCACUUCUGAUGGGUCCUGAAUAAUAUUCAUUCCUUCCCGUAGAAAGGUGGGGUUAGGAUUGACUCUAACAACCAUUUUCUUUGAAAACAAGUUUCUAAUUUUGUGAUUCCCUCCUUGACAUGCCAAUUUUAGCCAAAUGGCUAUCUUUACAAAAUAUGGCCCUUUCCCGUUCCCGUAUGAAUUUUGAGGCCGAGGAGGCUUAUUUUGUGACACUUCUGAACUUUAUCCAUUCUUUACGAAGAUAGCCCUUCGAUAACGAGAGAAUAUUCUAAGGCUUCUUGGUAAGAACGGAUCAAAACACUACCGACACUGAAUCGACUUAUUUUCUCUUCUUUUGUUUUUUUCUCUAUUUUUCAGAAAUGAGGCCGAACCAUAUGUAGGUUGCCUACGUAUCCUAUAUCUGAUUGGAAUCAGACCCGCAUAGUUCGCCAAAUACAACAGCUUUUUGAAACAAGACUCUCUUUUUUCAAUUCAUUGGCAAAUAAACAAACUAAUUUUGAACACAAAACUCUUUUUUUUCAUUAGCAAACAGACAAACCAUUUUUGAAAACCAAACACUUUUUUUGCCUUUCUCAUUGACAACAAGUUAUUUUUUGAAAACAAAACAUUUGUUCUCUUUUCAUUGGCAAAUAGAAUAAGCUAUUUUUGAAAACAAAACCUGUUUUUAUUUUUAUUGGCGAACUAACUCUUUUUCCUUUUAUUCUAUCUUUUUUUUUAUUUAAAAAUUUACCCUUUUUUUUACAAACAAUCGGCAGAGUUUCGAGGUAUUUUCAAGCAUUGGAUUUUCUUUAGAACCGAGUUUGCUCAUUUCCUACAUCGUUCUUGGUCUUUUUCUCUCUCUUAUCCCCUUUUCUUGUUUUCCUCUGAUUUUUCCUCAAUCUUUUUUUGGCCGGUCAGCAUUCAAGUCAAAACAAAUGAAUGUUCACAUAGCACAUUGGAUGCAUCAUGAUGGUCUGUUAUUUUGGGUACACCUGUCCUAGACGAACCCAAAUUCUGUGUUGAGUCCCCUAAGUCAAAAUGCACGGGAUGCAAACAAGCGCUCCUACUAGGGAUCCAGCAUGAGGUUGUGUUAUUCUAAGUUUAAAUCCUGGGGUUUUGAUCUAGACAUGGGGUACCCGAGCGGACAACUAAGGCCGAGGAGGGGGCGACGUAUCGGGAGCACUAAAGUCUGCCCGGUCUUGUUGCUUGCCCAGCCUCGCUCUUUGGUAUAAUUUCUACAGAAAAAGCGGGCUACGCGAACAUAUGCACCAUUUUCAGAAGACCCAGAGGGGCGGUGUUAGGAGACAAUUCUACGCAAUUCAACAAAAUUAAGGAGGUAAACAUAUAGCAUUUUAGCACAAAGGUUCAGAAGAAUACAAUACUAUCAACAAUAAAUAAGCCAAGUAAAAAUCAUAAAACAAGCUCGAAUUCUUGAACCCUGAACCAGAGAUUCUGGGUUCCUUCCCCACCAGAGUCACCAGAGCUAUCACACCUCCUCUUUCCUUACUACACCCCAUGAAGAGGUAUAAUAAAUAGAGAGUCAUUUUCUAAUUUAAAGUGACAAUCGAAACGAGAUUUAUUUUAUUAAAAAUUAGAGUCAGCACUUGGGAGAUUUAUGGUGUCCCAAGUCACCGGUUGAAAUCCCGAAUCGAGGAAAAGAAUGAAUAUGUUAUUACAGUCUACGAAUUAGAAAUCCAGGUAAGGAAUUAUGUUAACCCGGGAGAAGGUGUUAGGCACUCCCGAGUUCCGUGGUUCUAGCAUGGUCACUUUGAUCAUACUCGGCUUAUAAAAUUAUUUUAAUUACUGAUUUUAGAACCUAUGUGCUUUUGCUUCUUCCCACUUUUAAUUUAGAAAAUUAUCUUAAAAUGGGUUAUGCGCACGUAUACCUGCCUGUUUGGCGCGUAAAAAAUCAUUUCACACGAAUGUGUCCACAAUUGAUAAAGCUUAAUUAUUAUUAAGAGUGUUUGGACCGAAGUUGCACGAACGCAUACUAUGGUUUCGUUUUAGAAAUGUAGUUAUGUUACGCGAACGUAUACGCAACCACACUUGGUAUUUUUAAAAUGGCCGUAAAGGAUAUUCUACGAAAUAUUAUUUUUAUCUAUCCUACGAAAUUACUAAAAGGCCAUAUGUGAUUUUAAUGAGCUCAAAAUAAUCAAAAGCGUGUAACCUAUUUUAUUAUUAAGAAAAGAUUGAGCGAAGUUGCGCGAACACAUACUUCGAAUUAAUUUAGAAAAUUAUGGUCAUGUUACACGAACGUAUACGCAACAACAAUCGUAUUUUAAACGGCCCUAAAGGCUUACUACGAAUAUUGGUCAUUUUUAAUAUCUAAGUUAUGAAAUUAACCGGAGGGCCAUACAAUUGUUAUUUGGUCCGGCAUGGCGCACCUCCAAUUUAUUUUAAUUAAAGCAUCUCUAUACUAAAUCGUGAGGGCCAUGAACUAUUUGUGUUAUGCAACAUGGCCCGCCUUCAUCGACUAAAAAGAAUUCAAUUAUCUAGGUGUUAAAGAGUUAAGAUCAUGCUAAGGUUCAAGUUAACGGAAUAUAACAAAGCAUAUGAUUUGAAAUCAUCAUCCAGGCCCAACGUGAGGCCUAACAUCCCACAAUCACAAGGCAUUCAGAAUUACAUCUUUUAGCUAUAAUUCAUCGGGGCCCAAAAGAAGGCCCAAAAUAAGACUAAUGGGCUUCAGCAAUCGAUGGAGAGGGGGCCUCUUUCAGGAUCUGAAAUUGCCACAAACUAGGCUUGAUAUCGAGCCAUUGCCACGACACAAUCACCAUAUAAACAAGGGAUUAACUAAUCCCAACACCCAUGAUAUUCGUUUAAUUUCUGAACUUAAUCAUUUCAUGAAAAGAGUGGAUAAAUAACAUUUGAAAGCUCAAACCUUAGAUAAUCUACCUAUAACUAAGUUUGACUCCGUAAGACUAAUUUCAAAUAAUUUCAAAGAUAGUCCCAACCUCAAACUAGUGUGAAUUCAUCGUUCAGGUAUUAAACCAGACUUGAAAUGAAGAUUUUCUAAAGAUUGGAACCAAAACUAGACAAUUUCAGUCAGUCUAAGGGCAAAUCACAGUCCCUAAUUAACAUACUCGAAGGUCCAACCGUUUUAAACCCAAUUACAACCCUAUUAGCUCAAUUUUGGACGUCAAAACAAAAUGGAUUGCACGAAAACUAUAGUGGAAGAACCAAAUUCAGUGUUUAGACGAAUAACAAAGAAUGUGACCUUUACUAGCAUUUAUAACUUGAAGUCUAGUUAAACAAAAUGGACAUAGUAGAAGAAACAGAAGGGUCAGCUUCAAAGGAUAUCUUCAUUUAACAUGAGCCUCAAAUCCAUUACAUGUUCAACAUUCAAACUUUGAUCAUGAGCUAUGGAAAUUACAUGGAAUUGAAAUAAAAGAGGAAGAGAGAACGAGCUAUCAACAAGGUUAAUCAGCAGAAAAUUAACACCAGCAACAAAAGAUUUGGAUAAAAAAUGCUUGAGAAUAUCACUUGAAAAUAAUUUUUGAACCCAAAUGACUCCACACAGGGUUCAGACUUAAAUUCCAACCAAAAAUGAAUCCAAACUCGAAUAUCACACACACUUCAACUCAUUUUUCUCUUAAUUACUCAAAGAUUCAAAGAUUUUAUGGAACAAUAGUAUUUUUAUGCUAAAAUUGGAUGAAACAAUGUUACUUUUUACGGACUCUUGCUUCUGUUUUUUUAGCUCUUUAACCUCUUAGAAUAGCAGCUUUUUUUCUGUAUUUUUUUCUAUAGCCCCUCAUGCAAAGCAAGUAUAAUGCCCUUUUAUACACAAACACUAGGGCAGCCUUGUAGAUUUUUAGUUUGCCCUCUUGUCCCCUUUCUCAUUUUAUUUUUAGCUUAACGACACCCCUUUUUACUGACUUUCUACCCAAGUAAUACUACAAAGAACCAGAAAUUGAAGUUAACACCCCAUACUAGAAGCUUCUAGGGGUUUCUAAAUCAGUUAUUGGAAGAUUUCCUAAAUGAAAUACCUAAACUACCCUCCCACCCAUUCUUAAAUUACCAACCAUAGUUGAACCGACCCCUAACCCUGCUACCCUAGUCAAGAACUAACCAUUGUUAAGCAAAGGUCUAACCAAAUAAUUCUUUUAAUUUAAAAAAUCCAAAACAACCUUCUUUAAACCUUGAAUUAACUAAGAAAAAUAUAAUUAAACGCUACUCAAUGAUUAAUAAACACACUUGAACUGAUGGAAAAACAAUCACAGACUUAAAAAAAAAAGAAAAGAAAACCUAAAGUAUUAAUUGUGGAUUAUCAGAAGAAGCUAUGCAUAUACUAAUUUUAACAAACUGAAGAUUAAACAAAAUAAGAACAGAGAAACUUACAUUAUAGAAGGUUGAACCACACAGGACUCCGAUUGAAGCCCAGAAUGAUGUGAACAUUUGUUCGUCUCCAAGAACAAAUGAGCACAUUAUUUCGUGCCUUGAAUCAAUCUUGGGCCUAAGGAAACUAAGCAAACUUGACCAAUUGAACUUAUAGGGUUCUGCCCUUUUUAAUAUUGAAAUUUGAGGUGUUGGAGAGAUAUUCGAGAAAAGACAGGCAGGGAUUUAAGAAGAGGGAAGUUAGGAGAAUCCAUGGUGUUAUUUUGAAGUGGUUUGAGAGGUGGCGCCGCCGUGCAGGGCGGUGGCGGCGCUAGAGUUUGAAUUACUCGAGGUGUUUGGGUGAUAUUUGAAAGAAACCAAUGUCGGAUAUAGAACGGGGAGGUGAAGGAGAAGGGUGGUACAAUUUUCAGGGUCACUGGACAACUGCCGCCGGUGGAGGCUAUUUCCAGCGGGUGGCGGGCGACGGAAGACGGAAGGGUUAUGGUUUGUGAGGGGUGAGGUUAAGGAGAGACGAGGGGGGGAGGGGAGGUAGGGAGUGCCUUUCAGACACUCUUAUAUCUAGUCAUCCCCACUUGAGAGCUGUUAAAUUUAGUUACC
rnacentral:lncRNA from 1 species